rnacentral:lncRNA from 1 species
AGAGAUCUUCUUAUUCUACUUCCUCAUCUUACAGAGCAGCGGGGCGUGGUCUAGGAGAGUCAAGUGAAUGUGGGAAACUGGAUGAUGAUCCCUAAAGGUCCACACCUUCGUCUCUGGCACCUAUCACGUUGCACAGGGUACAUAAAGCUGAAUCAUCUGGGGGAAGUUUGCUAAAGACACAGAAUGCAAAGCCCCAUCUCACUCUUCUUGAAUCAGAAUGGCUGACUGUGGUGCUCAGGAAUUUGCAUGUUUAAUAAGUUUUCCCCGGGUGAUUCUAAUGAAUGCAACUUGAGUACUGUUUAGUAUAUGCUGAGUAUACCUGGAGCUUUGAUGUGCUGCAGGGAUUAGAAGAGUUUUCUGAUUUUGACCUUCCCAUUUUGAAAUAAGUAGAUUCACCAUUUUUUUUUUUUUUGGGAUGGAGUCUCACUCUGUCGCCCAGGCUGGAGUGCAGCGGCGCGAUCUCUACUCACUCACUGCAACCUCUGCCUCCUGGGUUCAAGAGAUUCUUCUGCCUCAGCCUCCUGAGUAGAGAUGGAGUUUCGCCAUGCUGGCCAGGCUGGUCUCGAACUCCUGACCUCGUGAUCCACCCAC